rnacentral:rRNA from 1 species
GACGAACGCUGGCGGCGUGCCUAAUACAUGCAAGUAGGACGCAGUUGCGAACGGGUGAGUAACGCGUAGGUAACUACCUAUAUGAGGGGGAUAACCAUUGGAAACGAUAGCUAAUACCGCAUGUUAGUAGAUGGAUCUUCGUUGUAUUAGCUAGUAGGUGGGGUAACGGCCUACAUAGGCAACGAUACAUAUCCGACCUGAGAGGGUGAUCGGCCACACUGGGACUGAGACACGGCCCAGACUCCUACGGGAGGCAGCAGUGGGGAAUCUUGCGCAAUGGACGAAAGUCUGACGGAGCAACGCCGCGUGUGUGAAGAAGGCCUUCGGGUUGUAAAGCACUUUCAGCGAGGAGGCGUUACUCGCAGAAGAAGCACCGGCUAACUCCGUGCCAGCAGCCGCGGUAAUAC